rnacentral:rRNA from 1 species
UACUAGAGUAGCACUCGCAUAUCAAUAGCGGAGGAAAAGAAACUAACUAGGAUUCCCUCAGUAACGGCGAGUGAAGCGGGAAGAGCUCAAAUUUGAAAUCUUCAAGGUUUACCUUUACGAAUUGUAGUUUAAAGAAGUGUUUUCUGUUGGUAGUUUUGGUAAAAGUUCUUUGGAAUAGGACAUCAUAGAGGGUGAGAAUCCCGUAUUUGUACAGUUCCUUCCUAGCGUUGUGAUACACUUUCUAACGAGUCGGAUUGUUUGGGAAUGCAGUCCAAGAUGGGUGGUAAAUUUCAUCUAAAGCUAAAUAUUGGCGAGAGACCGAUAGCGAACAAGUACCGUGAGGGAAAGAUGAAAAGAACUUUGAAAAGAGAGUUAAACAGUACGUGAAAUUGUCAAAAGGGAAGCGUUUGACACCAGUGUUGUUUAGUUGAAAAUCAAUUCAAUAGUUUUUGAUUCUAAGUAGUAUUGACUUCAUCAGCUUGCUGCUUUCUUCUCAGAAAUUAUUGAAUGUACUUUUCAGUUAACAAGUCAACAUCAAUUUCUUUUGUUGUAAAAGGGUAAGAGGAAGGUGGCUUGCGCUUCGGCUCAAGUGUUUAUAGCCUUUUAUCUCUGCGAAUCGGAGAGAUUGAGGUCUGCAGCGUAGAUCCUUCGGGGUUAGAUACAUUGGUGCUAAGCUAUAGCCUUGUAUAGACAACUUGUUGACUAUGCUCAGUCAUGUAGCUUACUCGCUGAUGCUAUUUUACCUACGCUUAGGAUGUUGAAGAUGUAGCACAUCAU